GGGGAUAUAGUUUAAUAAUAACAUUUAAUUUGCAAUUAAAAAGUACUUUUACAGUUUUCCUCA
rnacentral:tRNA from 1 species